UAGCUCUUCAUCCCUGGGAGGCAGCUGAUCGCCCAGCGUGCUGUGUCGCUGCUUUGUCCCAGACAAACCAGCACGUCAAGGGCCCAGCCCCUCCCCACCCCGGCAUUUCAGCGUCAAGUGCACUUAGCGGGGUGCCCAGCUCCCCCAGUUCCCACACCUGUCCUGUGUCUCAGGGUGGCCCUAGUUUGGGCAAGGCCUGGUUCCCUCAUGGUGCCUUGGGGAAUGGGGGCAGCAUAUUGGCUUGGGGGCAAGCACUAGACUCGACACAAAAGCGUUGGUGAGGGCCCUGGCACCACUAUCACCGCCCACCCCUUCCUACCAGCUGCUGCUAGCCCUCUGUGGUUGUGCACCCUUCCUGCCCCCAUUCAGGGGUUGACUAACACCCUUUAUCCAAUGGUGCUAACCCCGGCUCUCCCUGUUCUACCCUACCCACCUAAAGAAGCACAGGCCCCACGGAGCAGGGCCCACACCCUUAUCCUGGGCUGCCUUCUGGCUGGCUUCUCUCUGCCAGGGGCUCAAAAGGGGCACAAACGUGGGUCAAGAAAAGAGCAACAACGCGAAAUUGUUCUUCCUCUUCCCUUCCCUGAUGCCAGGGGCACCAGACUGAUUCUGAGGCACAAAUAAAAGAGGUUUCAAACC
rnacentral:lncRNA from 1 species